rnacentral:tRNA from 1 species
GUCGGGAUAGCUCAGUUGGUAGAGCAGAGGACUGAAAAUCCUCGUGUCACCAGUCAAAUAGCGGAAAU